rnacentral:rRNA from 1 species
CGGCGGACGGGUUAGUAACGCGUGGGAAUAUGCCCUUUGGUACGGAAUAGCCUCUGGAAACGGAGAGUAAUACCGUAUGAGCCCUUCGGGGGAAAGAUUUAUCGCCAAAGGAUUAGCCCGCGUUAGAUUAGGUAGUUGGUGGGGUAAUGGCCUACCAAGCCUACGAUCUAUAGCUGGUUUUAGAGGAUGAUCAGCAACACUGGGACUGAGACACGGCCCAGACUCCUACGGGAGGCAGCAGUGGGGAAUCUUGGACAAUGGGGGCAACCCUGAUCCAGCCAUGCCGCGUGAGUGAUGAAGGCCUUUAGGGUCGUAAAGCUCUUUCGCCUGUGAAGAUAAUGACGGUAGCAGGUAAAGAAACCCCGGCUAACUCCGUGCCAGCAGCCGCGGUAAU